GAGGUUUUAGCUUAAGUAAAGCGCUUGAGUUGCAUUCAUGUGAUGAGUAUUUGAGUUGCUCAGACCUU
rnacentral:tRNA from 1 species